GAACUCUGGUAUUGAUUGGUGCUUGCAUCAUGAUUUACAUUUGAGUGAGUGGCGAACUGGUGAGUAACACGUGGGAAACCUGCCCAGAAGCGGGGGAUAACACCUGGAAACAGAUGCUAAUACCGCAUAACAACUUGGACCGCAUGGUCCGAGUUUGAAAGAUGGCUUCGGCUAUCACUUUUGGAUGGUCCCGCGGCGUAUUAGCUAGAUGGUGGGGUAACGGCUCACCAUGGCAAUGAUACGUAGCCGACCUGAGAGGGUAAUCGGCCACAUUGGGACUGAGACACGGCCCAAACUCCUACGGGAGGCAGCAGUAGGGAAUCUUCCACAAUGGACGAAAGUCUGAUGGAGCAACGCCGCGUGAGUGAAGAAGGGUUUCGGCUCGUAAAACUCUGUUGUUAAAGAAGAACAUAUCUGAGAGUAACUGUUCAGGUAUUGACGGUAUUUAACCAGAAAGCCACGGCUAACUACGUGCCAGCAGCCGCGGUAAUACGUAGGUGGCAAGCGUUGUCCGGAUUUAUUGGGCGUAAAGCGAGCGCAGGCGGUUUUUUAAGUCUGAUGUGAAAGCCUUCGGCUCAACCGAAGAAGUGCAUCGGAAACUGGGAAACUUGAGUGCAGAAGAGGACAGUGGAACUCCAUGUGUAGCGGUGAAAUGCGUAGAUAUAUGGAAGAACACCAGUGGCGAAGGCGGCUGUCUGGUCUGUAACUGACGCUGAGGCUCGAAAGUAUGGGUAGCAAACAGGAUUAGAUACCCUGGUAGUCCAUACCGUAAACGAUGAAUGCUAAGUGUUGGAGGGUUUCCGCCCUUCAGUGCUGCAGCUAACGCAUUAAGCAUUCCGCCUGGGGAGUACGGCCGCAAGGCUGAAACUCAAAGGAAUUGACGGGGGCCCGCACAAGCGGUGGAGCAUGUGGUUUAAUUCGAAGCUACGCGAAGAACCUUACCAGGUCUUGACAUACUAUGCAAAUCUAAGAGAUUAGACGUUCCCUUCGGGGACAUGGAUACAGGUGGUGCAUGGUUGUCGUCAGCUCGUGUCGUGAGAUGUUGGGUUAAGUCCCGCAACGAGCGCAACCCUUAUUAUCAGUUGCCAGCAUUAAGUUGGGCACUCUGGUGAGACUGCCGGUGACAAACCGGAGGAAGGUGGGGAUGACGUCAAAUCAUCAUGCCCCUUAUGACCUGGGCUACACACGUGCUACAAUGGAUGGUACAACGAGUUGCGAACUCGCGAGAGUAAGCUAAUCUCUUAAAGCCAUUCUCAGUUCGGAUUGUAGGCUGCAACUCGCCUACAUGAAGUCGGAAUCGCUAGUAAUCGCGGAUCAGCAUGCCGCGGUGAAUACGUUCCCGGGCCUUGUACACACCGCCCGUCACACCAUGAGAGUUUGUAACACCCAAAGUCGGUGGGGUAACCUUUUAGGAACCAGCCGCCUAAGGUGGGACAGAUGAUUAGGG
rnacentral:rRNA from 2 species